rnacentral:lncRNA from 1 species
GGGCCAGGAACGGAAGGUGUCCUUCCAUAGAUCCAGAGAAAAGUUCUCGGCUCUAAAGGGGAUUCUGUUUGUUUCCACGUUAAUAAGAUCGGUGGGAUCUGGAUUCCCUAAGGGGCCAAGACAUUGGAGGUGUGGCUGAUCGGUAGGGAUGACAAUUUUAUUGGACAGAUCCUAAUGGUUUUGAAGGUAAAAAGGAAGACAAAGAAAGAAAAAGAAAAAUGUUGAGUAAAAUAAAGUGCGGAUGAACAGGGG